rnacentral:misc_RNA from 1 species
AAAAUAAAAUAAAAUAAAAAGAAGAUGAGCAUGGUUUUGUUUUGACGUCAGUUGCUUUUCUUUUGAUGUGGAAAUAUAAGCAUUUUCUAGUUGAAAUAUGUAUUCAUUACAAGACCAAAUUGUAAAGGUCAAUUUCCUAGCCAAUGCUAUAGAUUUUUUGAGUAGGGAGAUUACUAGUAUGGUUGGAUCAUAAUUUGAAAUGGUUUGGUACGGUUAAUUUACGUGUUUAAGAAGAUUAUUCAAAAAAACUAAAACUCUAUAAUUCAAAAAAAAAUAUUUAUUUUUUCACGUAUUUAUAGCAUCAAUAAUAUAUUUAUAAUUCCAAUUUUUACAAUUUUUUAUUUAAAAAAUAUUUAAAAUCUAA